rfam:Neurospora crassa OR74A unplaced genomic scaffold supercont12.8, whole genome shotgun sequence.
UAACCUCGGAUUAAGUAGGAAUACCCGCUGAAUUUAAAUAUAUUAAUAAGUAGAGGAAAAGAAAUUAAUAGGGAUUACCCUAAUAAUAGUGAAUAAAGUAAUAAUAAUUUAAAUUUAAAAUUUAAUUUUAGCCCGAAUUGUAAUUUAUAGAAGAAGCUUUUAGUAAGGUACUUUUUGAGUCCUUUAGAACGGAGCGUUAUAGAGGGUGAGAGUUUUGUAUAAUUGGAUGUUGAUUUAAUAUAAAGUUCCUUUGAUGAGUUGAGUAGUUUGGGAAUAUUAUUUAAAAUAGGAGGUAAAUUUCUUCUAAAGUUAAAUACUAGUUAGAGAUUAAUAGUAUAUAAAUAAAGUAAUUGAAAGAUAAAAAAUACUUUAAAAAGAGGGUUAAAUAAUAUAUAAAAUUAUUGAAAGGGAAGUGUUUGUAAUUAGAUUUAUACUAUUCUAAUUAUUUAAUAUUUUUAUUGGUAUAUUUGGGAUGGUUUAGGUUAGUAUCGGUUUUAGUAGGGGGAUAAAGGUCCGGGGAACGUAGCUCCUUUAGGAGUAUUAUAGCUCUGGGUGUAAUACUUUUGUUAGGACUGAGGUUUGUGUAUUUAUAAGGAUAUUAGUAUAAUAGUUAUUAAUAACCUAUUUUGAAAUAUGGAUUAAGGAAUUAAGGUUUUACGUAAGUAUUUGGGUAUAAAAUUUGUAUAUAUAAUAAAAGUGAAUAUAAGUGAGAGUUUUAGUAUAUUAUUAAUUAAUUCUAAUAUAUUUAGAUAGAUUUAAGUAAGAGUAUUAAACUUUAGAUUCGAAAGAUAAUGAAUUAUAUUUAAAUAGGGUAAAGCUAGAGGAAAUUUUAGUAGAGGUUUGUAACGGUUUUAACGUAUAAAUUAAUUAUUAAAUUUAAAUAUAGGGGUGAAAGAUUAAUUGAAUUAUUUAGUAGUUAAUUACUACCGAAGUUUCCCUUAGGAUAGUAAUAUUAUUUUUUAGUUUUAUAAGGUAAAACGAAUAAUUAGGGAUUCGGGGGCGCUUUUUAGCCUUUAUCUAUUUUUAAACUUUAAAUAUAUAAGAAGCCCUUAUUAUUUAAUUAAAUAUAGGUAUUCGAAUAUAUUAAUAUUAGUAGGUUAUUUUUAGUAAGUAGAAUUAGCGAUACGGAAUGAACCGAACGCGGGGUUAAAGUAUUGGAGUAGACGUUUAUUAGAUAUUAUAAAAAGUGUUAAUAUAUUUUAAUAGUAGGACGGUAGUUAUAGAAGUUAGAAUUUACUAAGGAUUAUAUAAUAAUUUACUUGCCGAAUAUAUUAGUUUUGAAAAUGGAUAGCGCUUAAGCGUCUUACCUAUACCUUGCCUUUAGAGUAGAAACGAUACUUUAAAAAGUAGGCGGUUGUAGAGGUUAGUAACGAAGUUUAGGGCGUAAGUUUGGGUUGAACGGCCUUUAGUAUAGAUUUUAUUAGUAGUAGUAAAUAUUUUAAUAAGAAUUUGAAGGACCGAAGUAGGGAAAAGUUCUAUAUAAAUAGCGGUUGGAUAUAGGUUAAUUAAUUUUAAAUUAUAGGGAAGUUCUGUUUUAAAGGGGUAUUUGUAUUUUGUAUAGCGAAAGGGAAGUUGGUUAAUAUUUUAAUAUUUGGAUGUAGGUUUUGCGCGGUAAUAUAAUUAAAUAUGGAGACGAUGGUGGAGGCUUCGGGUAGAAUUUUUUUUUCUUUUUAAUAAUCUAUUACUUUAAAAAUAGUUUAUUUAGAGAUAGGGUUUAAUAGUUAGAAGAGUUUAAUACUUUUAUUAGGUCCGGUACGCUUUUAAUAUCCUUUGAAAAUUUGUAGGAGGGAAUAAUUCUUAUAUUAGAUUGUACUUAUAAUUAUAGUAGGUCUUUAAAGUAAAUAGCUUUUAGUUAAUAGAAUAAUAUAAAUAAAGGAAGUUAGUAAAAUAGAUUUAUAAUUUUAGGAAAAGGAUUAGUUCUAAAGGUUAAGUAUAUCGGGCUUUGGGUAGAUGCCCUAAGAGUAGAUUACUACUAGCUAGGUAACUGGUUGGUAGCUUUUAGUAUCCAGGUAUAAAAGUUUUUAGUAGAUUUCGGUUGUCCGGUAUAUAUUUAAUAAUUAAUUUAGAAUUAGUAUAGAUAGGGGGAAUUUAAUUAUUUAAUUAAAAUAUAGUAUUACAAUAGUUAGAAAGUAGUAUUAAUAUAAUAUGAUUUUUAUUUAGUAUUUUAAAUAUUAAAGUGAAGAAAUUCAAUUAAGCGUAGGUAAAUAGCGGGAGUAAUUAUAAUUCUCUUAAAGUAGCUAAAUACUUCGUUAUUUAAUUAAUAAUACGUAUAAAUAGAUUAAUAAGAUUCUUAUUAUCCCUAUCUAUUAUUUAGCGAAAUUAUAAUUAAGGGAAUAGGUUUAGUAGAAUUAGUAGGGAAAGAAGACCCUAUUAAAUUUAAUUCUAAUUUAAUAUUAUAAAAAGAUAUAGGAGGUAUAGAAUAGGUAGGAGCUUUAGCGCCGGUAAAAUACUAUUAUUCCUAUUAUUUUUUUACUUAUUUAAUUAAGCGGGGCUGGAUUUUCAUCCAACUUCUAAUUUUAAGGUCCUUCGUAGGCUGACUCGGAUUGAAGAUAUUAUUAGGUAGGGAAUUUGGCUGGGGCGGUAUAUUUAUUAAAUUAUAAUAUAGGUAUUUUAAGGAGGGUUUAUAGAGAAUAGAAAUCUUUAGUAAAAUAAAAGGGUAAAAGUCCUUUUGAUUUUAAUUUUCAAUAUAAAUAUAAAUUAUAAAAGUGUAGUUUAUCAAUCUUUUAGUCCUUCGAAAUUUGAGGCUAGAGGUGCUAGAAAAGUUAUUAUAAGGAUAAUUGGCUUAUAGCGGCUAAGUAUUUAUAGCGAUAUUGCUUUUUGAUCCUUUGAUAUUGGUUCUUCCUAUUAUAUUGAAGUAGAAUUUGGUAAGCGUUAGAUUGUUUAUUUAUUAAUAGGGAAUAUAAGUUAGGUUUAGACUAUUAUAAAAUAAGUUAGUUUUACCUUAUUAAUAAUUUUAUUAUAAUAGUAAUUGAAUUUAGUAUAAAAGGAAUUGUUUAUUUAAAUAAUUAGUUUUUAUAAUUGUUCGACCGGGUAGUAUUGUAAUAUUACUAUUUAUUAGAUAAUAAUUAAACGCCUCUAAGUUAGAAUUUAUAUUAAAAUACAAUAAUACUUUUAAUAUAUUAUAAAUAUAUAAAAAUAAGCUCCGGCCUUAUAUUUUAGUAGGCGAUUCCUCUAUUAGCUUUAAAGUGGCUAGCGGUAAUUUAUAUAUUAUAAUUUUAAUAUAUAUUAAAUUAAAUUUUUUAUAGAUAAUUUAGAUAUACGAAAGGGUUUUAUAAGUAGUAGAAUAGUUUUAUUAUUAUAAUUUAUUAAGGGUAAGCCCUCCUUCAUUUAGAUUUUU